rnacentral:lncRNA from 13 species
AGGUCCAAUCAAAUAGAGAUGGCUGCUGCAUGGAGCGUCCAAUCAGAGUGCGUUAGAGACCGCUGCCAGUCCGAAAGAGGAAUAACCUCCCACAUUCCUCCAGCCACCAGUCACGCUUUUCCCAGACCACCAUCUCCUUCUGCUCCAGGAGCUGCAGAAGCCAGUCGGCAGCCUUCUGAAUCUCCCCGGUCCCGGCCACACAGCAUGCAGACGAUUUCUCUGUCCUAGAUGUGGAGUCAGAGGAUGUCAAAGCUCA